GGAGGAAUAUUGGGCAAUGGGCGAAAGCCUGACCCAGCAACGCCGCGUGGAGGAUGAAGGCCUUCGGGUCGUAAACUCCUUUUGAGGGAGACGAGCAAGGACGGUAUCCCUCGAAUAAGCCACGGCUAACUACGUGCCAGCAGCCGCGGUAAAACGUAGGUGGCUAGCGUUAUCCGGAUUCAUUGGGCGUAAAGAGCUUGUAGGUGGUUCUGUAAGUUGGACGUGAAAACUCCGGGCUUAACUUGGAGAGGCCGUUCAAUACUGCAGGGCUAGAGGAAGUCAGAGGGGAGUGGAAUUCCUGGUGUAGCAGUGAAAUGCGUAGAUAUCAGGAGGAACACCCGUGGCGAAGGCGGCUCCAUGGGGCAUCCCUGACACUGAGAAGCGAAAGCUAGGGGAGCAAACGGG
rnacentral:rRNA from 1 species